rnacentral:rRNA from 1 species
CCUAAUACAUGCAAGUCGGACGGGAUUGAGGAGCUUGCUCUUCAUGAGAGUGGCGCACGGGUGCGUAACACGUAUGUAACCUACCUUUAUCAGGGGGAUAGCCUCUCGAAAGAGAGAUUAAGCCCGCAUAAAAUCACAGCUCAGCAUUGAGUAAUGAUCAAAUAUUUAUAGGAUAAAGAUGGGCAUGCGGAACAUUAGCUAGUUGGUAAGGUAACGGCUUACCAAGGCUACGAUGUUUAGGGGAUCUGAGAGGAUGACCCCCCACACUGGUACUGAGACACGGACCAGACUCCUACGGGAGGCAGCAGUAAGGAAUAUUGGUCAAUGGGCGCAAGCCUGAACCAGCCAUGCCGCAUGCAGGAAGACGGCCCUACGUGUUGUAAACUGCUUUUAUACGGGAAUAAACCUCCGAUCGUGAUCGGAGCUGAAUGUACUGUAAGAAUAAGGAUCGGCUAACUCCGUGCCAGCAGCCGCGGUAAUACGGAGGAUCCAAGCGUUAUCCGGAUUUAUUGGGUUUAAAGGGUGCGUAGGCGGCCUGUUAAGUCAGGGGUGAAAGACGGUAGCUCAACUAUCGCAGUGCCCUUGAUACUGAUGGGCUUGAAUGUACUAGAGGUAGGCGGAAUGUGACAAGUAGCGGUGAAAUGCAUAGAUAUGUCACAGAACACCAAUUGCGAAGGCAGCUUACUAUGGUAUGAUUGACGCUGAGGCACGAAAGCGUGGGGAUC